AGACAUAUAUGUAUUUCAAACGUACUCAUAUAUUCAUGUAAAGUCUUGUCAGAUUAAUCUCGAUUCCAACACUUACUGAAUCUAACAUGCUAACCCAAUGUCAUCCUUACCAAAUGAGCUACCAAGUCACAUUGUUGAGAGUGAGGAAUAGCUCAAGUGGUUAGAGCUUCCCUCGCAAUCUCAGGAGAUCCUGGGAUCGAUUCUCACCCCGUCUUUGGCUUUCUAAACACCAAAAAAAAAAACAUUGUUAGACUUUGGGGCAAGUUCAAGUCCAUAUUACAAAAACCCCCCACGACACCCAACCCAUUUUGCGAAAACCCUACUCAUUCGGGAGCUGAGCAGACAAUCAUGGAUUAUUGAAGCUGAGCUGAGCUGAGCAGACUUUGGGCUGGAUCAAGCUUCAUUGUUCAAACUCUGAAAUGUUCUUGAGUCCUUUGCUCUAAAUGCCCUUCAUUUAUGAGUAAUUUGGUGAAUUCAACUCUAAAUGCUGAGGGAAUGAUUGAAGAAUGGGAUUUGUGGUCUAUCCCAUUCAUGUGAGAAGAGGCGGUCAUAAGAGGCCGGCGCCAAAGGUGUUGUGAAUUGUUAGCCAACAUGCAACGGUUUAACUCAGUUAAAAUUGCAGCACAGCAAGAGGUCAGUUGCGGACGAGCGUGCUGGACUGUUGGUCACAAAUUGGGUGGCCUGAUUAUCUUUGAAUUAAACUUUCAAGCACUAUAAAGUACGGAGUAAUCCUUAUUGACACUGUUUACAACGCCAUCAGAAACAAUUCGGGAAUCAAACAGGAAUUACAAUUCUGUCCGCGUGCAUAGAGAGAGCACUGUGACAUACAUUGGCAGGCAAAAAUACAGCAGUCUUCAUGGCAGCGGUCAACCUCAAGAACAGGCCAUCUUGCAGGGCAACACGGAACAGAAACUGGACCAAAUCCUUGUGUUGAUACAAUUAAUUUCGGUUAUUUGGCCUUUUUUUGGCAUCACACAUUAGUUCUUUUCUAGUCUGUAUUGCUGCUUAGUCUGAAAUUUAAGUACUGAAUUGUUCAAGACUAUCUUUCUUAAACAUACAAAAUACAGCAGUCUAACUUGUCUAAGGUAGAUAGUGGUAAUCUAAUGCUGGUUGAAAUAAAAAUAUUGGAAACUUUCUUCUAGUCCCUUUUCAGUUCUUUUGCCUUCUGGAACGAAUCUGGUUUAUGACAUUCAACUAUGAUU